rnacentral:rRNA from 1 species
AACGAACGCUGGCGGCAGGCCUAACACAUGCAAGUCGAGCGCACCCUUCGGGGCGAGCGGCGGACGGGUUAGUAACGCGUGGGAAUGUACCCUUCUCUACGGAAUAGCCAUUGGAAACGAUGAGUAAUACCGUAUACGCCCUUCGGGGGAAAGAUUUAUCGGAGAAGGAUCAGCCCGCGUUAGAUUAGAUAGUUGGUGGGGUAAUGGCCUACCAAGUCUACGAUCUAUAGCUGGUUUUAGAGGAUGAUCAGCAACACUGGGACUGAGACACGGCCCAGACUCCUACGGGAGGCAGCAGUGGGGAAUCUUAGACAAUGGGCGCAAGCCUGAUCUAGCCAUGCCGCGUGAGUGAUGAAGGCCUUAGGGUCGUAAAGCUCUUUCGCCAGGGAUGAUAAUGACAGUACCUGGUAAAGAAACCCCGGCU